CUUGUUGGUGAGGUAAUGGCUCACCAAGGCUUACGGGUAGUUGGUCUGAGAGGAUGAUCAGCAACACUGGGACUGAGACACUGCCCAGACUCCUACGGGAGGCUGCAGUCGAGAAUCAUUGUCAAUGCACGAAAGUGUGAACAUGCGACGCCGCGUGGAGGAAGACGGCCUUUGGGUUGUAAACUCCUGUCAGCAGGGAGUAAGGAUGGUCUGUUUAAUACAUUGACCGUUUGAUAGUACCUGCAGAGGAAGUCACGGCUAACUCUGUGCCAGCAGCCGCGGUAAUACAGAGGUGGCGAACGUUGUUCGGAUUUGCUGGGCGUAAAGGGUCCGCAGGCGGCCCGGUGUGUCAGAUGUGAAAGCCCACGGCUUAACUGUGGAAUUGCAUUUGAAACUGCCGGACUAGAGUACUGGAGGGGAGAAGGGAACACUUGGUGUAGCGGUGAAAUGCGUAGAUAUCAAGUGGAACACCGGUGGCGAAGGCGCUUCUCUGGACAGAUACUGACGCUCAUGGAUGAAAGUUAGGGUAGCGAAAGGGAUUAGAUACCCCUGUAGUCCUAACCGUAAACGGUGUGCGCUAGGCGUGGGUGGCUUUACCCCCAUCCGUGCCUGAGCUAACGCAUUAAGCGCACCGCCUGGGGAGUACGGUCGCAAGAUUAAAACUCAAAGGAAUUGACGGGGACCCGCACAAGCGGUGGAGCAUGUGGCUUAAUUCGAUGCAACGCGAAGAACCUUACCUGGGCUUGACAUAUAGCUGCAUACGAUCCGAAAGGAACGUAGCCUUCGAGGGUGCUAUACAGGUGCUGCAUGGCUGUCGUCAGCUCGUGCCGUGAGGUGUUGGGUUAAGUCCCGCAACGAGCGCAACCCCUGUGUUUAGUUGCCAGCACGUAAUGGUGGGAACUCUAAACAGACUGCCUGUGAAAACAGGAGGAAGGUGGGGAUGACGUCAAGUCAGUAUGGUCCUUAUGUCCAGGCUGCACACGUGCUACAAUGGGAUGUACAGUGGGAAGCUAAGCCGCGAGGUGGAGCAAAUCCUCAAAACAUCCCCCAGUUCGGAUUGGAGUCUGAAACUCGACUCCAUGAAGUUGGAAUCGCUAGUAAAGGCGUAUCAGCUACGACGCCUUGAAUACGUUCCCGGGUCUUGUACACACCGCCCGUCACAUCAUGGAAGUGAGUUGCACCCGAAGUUACUGAUCCAACCCGUCAAGGGAGGAAGGCACCUAAGGUGUGAUUCAUAACUGGGAUGAAGUCGUAACAAGGUA
rnacentral:rRNA from 1 species